GACGAACCGUCCGAACGUUAUUCGGUAUCACUGGGCUUAAAGCGUGCGUAGGCGGCCUGGUAGGUGAGAUGUGAAAGCCCACGGCUCAACCGUGGAAUUGCGUUUCAAACCACCAGGCUGGAGGAUGGCAGGGGUGAUGGGAACUGAUGGUGGAGCGGUGAAAUGCGUUGAUAUCAUCAGGAACACCGGUGGCGAAGGCGCAUCACUGGGCCAUUUCUGACGCUGAGGCACGAAAGCUAGGGUAGCGAACGGG
rnacentral:rRNA from 1 species